GGCGGGAUAGCCAAAUUGGAUAAGGCAGCAGAUUGCAAAUCUGCCAUGUUGGGGUUCGAGUCCCCAUCCCGCCUCCA
rnacentral:tRNA from 1 species